rnacentral:rRNA from 1 species
AUUGAACGCUGGCGGCAUGCUUUACACAUGCAAGUCGAACGGCAGCACGGGCUUCGGCCUGGUGGCGAGUGGCGAACGGGUGAGUAAUGCAUCGGAACGUGCCCAUGUUGUGGGGGAUAACUACGCGAAAGCGUGGCUAAUACCGCAUACGCCCUGAGGGGGAAGGCGGGGGGAUUCUUCGGAACCUCGCGCAAUUGGAGCGGCCGAUGUCAGAUUAGCUUGUUGGUGAGGUAAAGGCUCACCAAGGCGACGAUCUGUAGCGGGUCUGAGAGGAUGAUCAGCCACACUGGGACUGAGACACGGCCCAGACUCCUACGGGAGGCAGCAGUGGGGAAUAUUGGACAAUGGGCGCAAGCCUGAUCCAGCAAUGCCGCGUGGGUGAAGAAGGCCUGCGGGUUGUAAAGCCCUUUAAGCGGGGAGGAAAGCCGGGGUGUGGAAUAGCGCCUCGGGGUGACGUUACCCGCAGAAUAGCACCGGCUAACUCCGUGCCAGCAGCCGACGG